UCGGCUCCGGUUCACGCCUCCUCGCAGGGAGCGAGGCGACCCGGCGCA
rnacentral:ncRNA from 1 species